CCUACGGGGGGCAGCAGUGAGGAAUAUUGGUCAAUGGACGAGAGUCUGAACCAGCCAAGUAGCGUGAAGGAUGACUGCCCUAUGGGUUGUAAACUUCUUUUAUAUGGGAAUAAAAUGUUCCACGUGUGGGAUUUUGUAUGUACCAUAUGAAUAAGGAUCGGCUAACUCCGUGCCAGCAGCCGCGGUAAUACGGAGGAUCCGAGCGUUAUCCGGAUUUAUUGGGUUUAAAGGGAGCGUAGGUGGAUUGUUAAGUCAGUUGUGAAAGUUUGCGGCUCAACCGUAAAAUUGCAGUUGAAACUGGCAGUCUUGAGUACAGUAGAGGUGGGCGGAAUUCGUGGUGUAGCGGUGAAAUGCUUAGAUAUCACGAAGAACUCCGAUUGCGAAGGCAGUUCACUGGACUGCAACUGACACUGAGGCUCGAAAGUGUGGGUAUCAAACAGGAUUAGAUACCUCUGUAGUC
rnacentral:rRNA from 1 species